rnacentral:rRNA from 1 species
GAGGGGUGCAAACGUUAUUCGGAUUUACUGGGCGUAAAGGGUGUGCAGACGGCAUAUUAAGUUCGUUGUUAAAUCUUCCGGCCUAACCGGAAGCUCGCGAUGAAAACUGGUAUACUUGAGGGUGGAAGAGAGAAGCGGAAUUCUCGGAGUAGCGGUAAAAUGCGUAGAUCUCGAGAGGAACACCGAUGGCGAAGGCAGCUUCUUGGUCCAUCCCUGACGUUGAGACACGAAAGCGUGGGUAGCAAACAGGAUUAGAUACCCUGGUAGUCCACGCCGUAAACGAUGAUCACUGGAUGUCGGUAUUGCUUUGCAGUAUCGGUAUCGAAGCUAACGCGUUAAGUGAUCCGCCUGGGAAGUACGGUCGCAAGAUUA